GUUAGCGAUGCCAGCCGAUUAUAUAGGAGUUAUAGGAGGAAUUUCCAAGACACUGAGUCCGCCACUGUAAUGUGCCGCGUUGCACAGCCUUAUUAUCAACGUCUAUAAAUCACGAGACUGUGGUUUUAUCGGUGAAGAGAAGAGAGAGAGAGAGAGAGAGGGAGGGAGCGAGUUUGUUCGGGUGCAGUUGUUACGAGCGAUGUAAACAACUUCGACCGUGUUAUCGGAUACGAGGAGCGGGUCGAAGAUUCGUGACGAGAAAAGGGAACGAGUGGGAACGGUGAUGGAUGGAGGGGAGAAAGAAAGGAAGAGAAAAGAAAAGGAAACGUCGAAAAUCGAUACGGGGGGGGGGAAUAAAAUCUUCCAUUGCUCGUCGUCCAUUGCUGGUAAUUUCGUGGAAAUUCCAACGGGUCGAGAUAGGAAAAAGUCAGUCAGGCCGAUAAUUGCCUUCAUAAUGAAAGUUUAACGAAAGAAGAAGAAGAAAUUCGGUGGAAUCGGUGAAAAAGUCAUUCGC